rnacentral:rRNA from 1 species
UACGUAGGGUGCGAGCGUUGUCCGGAGUUAUUGGGCGUAAAGAGCUCGUAGGCGGUUUGUUGCGUCGGCUGUGAAAUCCCGAGGCUCAACCUCGGGUCUGCAGUCGAUACGAGCAAACUAGAGUGUUGCAGGGGAGACUGGAAUUCCUGGUGUAGCGGUGAAAUGCGUAGAUAUCUGGAGGAACACCGGUGGCGAAGGCGGCAUCCUGGACCGGCAUUGACGCUGAGGCGCGAAAGCCAGGGGAGCAAACGGG